rnacentral:rRNA from 1 species
CCUACGGGUGGCAGCAGUGAGGAAUAUUGGUCAAUGGCCGAGAGGCUGAACCAGCCAAGUCGCGUGAGGGAAGACGGCCCUACGGGUCGUAAACCUCUUUUGUCGGGGAGCAAAGCGAGUCACGUGUGACGCAUUGAGAGUACCCGAAGAAAAAGCAUCGGCUAACUCCGUGCCAGCAGCCGCGGUAAUACGGAGGAUGCGAGCGGUAUCCGGAUUUAUUGGGUUUAAAGGGUGCGCAGGCGGAGGUGCAAGUCAGCGGUCAAAUUGCGGGGCUCAACCCCGUACUGCCGUGGAAACGGCAUCCCUUGAGUGCGCGAGAAGUAUGCGGAAUGCGUGGUGUAGCGGUGAAAGGCAUAGAUAUCACGCAGAACUCCGAUUGCGAAGGCAGCAUACCGGCGCGCAACUGACGCUCAUGCACGAAAGCGUGGGUAUCGAACAGGAUUAGAUACCCGAGUAGUC